AGCCUUGGCACUAGGGGGCGCAUCUUGGUCAGCUCGGGCUGUUAGGACAAAUGCCACACGCUGGAGGCUUCAACAACAGAAACGUAUUUCUCACGGUUCCGGAGGGAAGUCUGGGAUCAGGGUGCCAGACGCCAUGGGGCCAAAGCUUUGUGGUGAACAUAAAGGCCCAGGGAAGCCUGGACACAGGCGGUACAAGGCAAAAAACUGCAUGAGACUCAGAGGAUCACUUGACAACACCGCUCCAGGAGGAUCAGGACCAGGACUGAGACAUUUUCUUGAGGUCAGCUUCAUGAAGUCCCACUGGAUCCCAUGCUCAGAAGGGCCCUGGACCUGGUUUAAUGAUCUGUGGUCAACAUCUUGAAAUUCUUAAUAAUUUUGAGCAAGGCAACCGAUGUUUUUAUUUGGUAGUGGGACCUGCAAGUUAUGUAGCUUUUCCUAGGUUCUCUUUUUAUUUUAUUUUGAUGACUAUAUCAUUUCAUAAUUUACUCUAUGUUCAUUUAAGCUGUACCGAAUACAGAUAAUGCUGCAAAAAUAUCUUUAUGACUAUAGAGUUUAGUUUUGUUAAAUUAAUCAGGAUAAAUUCUAGCCGCGGGUUUUAUGGACCACAGCAUGUACAUCUUUAUGUCUCAUAUUACUAUAUUCUGAUAUGAUAUCUAUAUUUCUCCAUAUUCCUUAUAUAAAAAAAAAAGUAUUACACAUCCUACUUCUUUUAAGCCAGUAAGAGGAUUACUCAGCUUUAGGCCUCUUGAAGAGAGCCCUGCCCCUGUCUUUCUUCUUGGCCAGCCCUGGGUGUGACAGGAGAUGCCAGCAUGUUGCUCCUUACUGAGAAUGGGGGUGGCAAUUACAGAGACCUGGGCAUGAAUCACUCUAGACAUCAGCUUCUUCAUCUAGUUGGGGAAUAAUACCUACCCCGAAGGACUACUUUUGUGAAGACCAAGCAUUAGAGUAACCAACGUAGUGCCUGGAACUCUGCAGAUACAAAAUGAAUGUGGGUUUCCGUUCCUGCUUAAAUCAGUUUCCACCACUUACUGGCUCAGGUGCCCAGGAAACCAAAGGUCAGGAGUUUCAAGCCCCCCACCCCAUUUUUUUUGUCUUUUCCAAAAGUAUAUAGAUACCCAUCACAAAAAUCAGUUCUGGCUCCUUUUAUUUAGAAUUCUUUGUUGUUUGUGCUUUGUUACACUUUCUGCUUUUGGUCCUUUUUCUGAAAGCUCUAUAGCUGUUUAAAUGAAAAGUUUCCUGGGUGCCUGGGUGGCUCAGUUGGUUAAGCGACUG